GUGCUCACUUCCGCAGCACAUGCACUAAACUUGGAACCAUGCAGAGAAGAUCACCAUGGUCCCUGCCCAAGGUAGACAUGCAGACUGGUGAAGCAUUCUGUAUUUGG
ensembl:snRNA U6 U6 spliceosomal RNA